rnacentral:rRNA from 1 species
UACGAGGGGUGCAAGCGUUGCUCGGAAUUAUUGGGCGUAAAGGGUAGGUAGGUGGUCUCAUUUGUCCGGGGUGAAAGCCUUGAGCUUAACUCAAGAAGUGCCUCGGAAACGGUGAGACUGGAGUCCUGGAGAGGGUCGUGGAGUUCCCGGUGUAGCGGUGAAAUGCGUAGAGAUCGGGAGGAACACCAGAGGCGAAGGCGGCGACCUGGACAGGCACUGACACUCAACUACGAAAGCGUGGGGAGCAAACAGG